rnacentral:rRNA from 1 species
GACGAACGCUGGCGGCGUGCUUAACACAUGCAAGUCGAACGGAAAGGCCCUGCUUUUGUGGGGUGCUCGAGUGGCGAACGGGUGAGUAACAAGUGAGUAACCUGCCCUUGACUUUGGGAUAACUUCAGGAAACUGGGGCUAAUACCGGAUAGGAGCUCCUGCUGCAUGGGGGGGGUUGGAAAGUUUCGGCGGUUGGGGAUGGACUCGCGGCUUAUCAGCUGGUGGGGGGGGUAGUGGCUUACCAAGGUUUUGAUGGGUAGCCGGCCGGAGAGGGUGACCGGCCACAUUGGGACGGGGUUACGGCCCGGACUCCACCGGGGGGCAGCAGUGGGGAAUAUUGCACAAGGGGCGGAAGCCUGAUGCAGCAACGCCGCGUGCGGGAUGACGGCCUUCGGGUUGUAAACCGCUUUCGCCUGUGACGAAGCGUGAGUGACGGUAAUGGGUAAAGAAGCACCGGCUAACUACGUG